GGGUUGUGAGGUUAAGCGACUAAGCGUACACGGUGGAUGCCCUGGCAGUCAGAGGCGAUGAAGGGCGUGCUAAUCUGCGAUAAGCGCCGGUAAGGUGAUAUGAACCGUUAUAACCGGCGAUACCCGAAUGGGGAAACCCAGUGUGAUUCGUCACACUAUCAUUAACUGAAUCCAUAGGUUAAUGAGGCGAACCGGGGGAACUGAAACAUCUAAGUACCCCGAGGAAAAGAAAUCAACCGAGAUUCCCCCAGUAGCGGCGAGCGAACGGGGAGGAGCCCAGAGCCUGAAUCAGCAUGUGUGUUAGUGGAAGCGUCUGGAAAGGCGCGCGAUACAGGGUGACAGCCCCGUACACAAAAGCGCAUAUGCUGUGAGCUCGAUGAGUAGGGCGGGACACGUGGUAUCCUGUCUGAAUAUGGGGGGACCAUCCUCCAAGGCUAAAUACUCCUGACUGACCGAUAGUGAACCAGUACCGUGAGGGAAAGGCGAAAAGAACCCCGGCGAGGGGAGUGAAAAAGAACCUGAAACCGUGUACGUACAAGCAGUGGGAGCCCCACCACUAAGCCAGUGGUGAACUCCACAUACGCAU
rnacentral:rRNA from 1 species